GAACGUUUGGCUCAGCGGCAGAGCACUGCAUUCACACUGCAGGGGGCACGGGUUCAAUCCCUGUAGCGUUCA
rnacentral:tRNA from 1 species